rnacentral:misc_RNA from 1 species
AACGUUCACCACUAGCACUUCACCUGCACUCCUUCCCUCCUCUAUCCCGCGCCGAGACAGAACGAAAACGCUUUGGCAUGCACCGCUGCGUGCAGAUGCAUUAGCAGCAGGGACAAUACCGGAUACUUCUUGACGGCGGAGGGUGAACGCAAGGGACACCGUGCGCGGCUGUCUUGAUCCUGCUUCCGGUUUGACCGCCUCCCUCGCCACACCCGCACACCCAGCGCCUCCCUUGCACUCGUGUCUCUGUUGCUUCUGCGCGGCAACCCCGGUGCGUUGUUUUCGCUGCCGCAGGUGGGCGCUGCGCAACAAGGAGGAUCGACCUGUUACACCGAAGUGUGCCACAGGCUUGCAGGUGGCGACGCACUGUGUGAAUGCGGAUACCAGAGCCCGCGCCGUGGCAAUGACGCAAAGCCCACUGCGAAUUCCUCCACGCACUGAGCCACAGAGCCUGUCAUCGGGUUCGAGAAGCGGCGUCGACCGCAGCCGCUCUCCAUCGCUUCAUCAGCAGCCAUCACACACAUCGUGCACCCCGCGACGAGGCUCUGCCUCGCCACGCUCGCAAAGACGUAGCGGCAGCACGGCGCUGUCUGCAUGGCGUACUGAGUCAACUGAGGGCAAGGUGCACAGCAGAGGCCACGCCAACUCUGGAAGGCACAAGCUUGCACUGCGAUCGCCAUCGCAGUGCAAGCAGCUAGCUCGGGCGAGCAGCACGGUUGUUGCGAAUGCGACGACUUCAGUGCAUCCCAACAUCACCCAUGAGCGUGGUGGUCAGAGUAGCAGUGUGGACCGCUGUAUUACGCCGGCAGUGACGACGACGCCGCGCGGAAGAGGAGCCGAAACCUUGGUCAGAUCCGGCGAACAGGCGCUACCGCACCUCCUCGUACACCCUGCCGCCCUGACCGCUCUCCAGAUGGAUACUGACUCUGUGGGCGCUGCCGCGGCUCUCGACGGAAAACUUUCUGGGCGAAGACGGGGCUCCCUGCGCACAGGUCCAGGAGAGCCAGUCAGCGCGAGGGUCUUCUCUGUGUCGCGGAGCAGAAGUACUGGCGUCGCAUCUGCUCUCUUGAAUUCAGGGGCGAGCGGCCUUCUUGGCGCCGGCUCCAGCGGCGGGACUGCCGGUGCAACCCUCUACAACUACUCCGGCAAGUCAUUCGGCGGCGUCGGCACCAGAAACCAGAACCGCUGCUCUCACUGCAAGGUGGCAGAGGAGGUUCUGUACCGCUGCCCGUGCGGCCUCGCCCGGUACUGCUGCACCAUCUGCCAACAUGCGCACUGGCCCUUUCACAAAGCGGUGUGCUGCCACGCCGUGCGCGCCAUUAGGCCGCCGACGCGGCAUUGUGAUUGGUGCCGUACGCCUUCACAGACCCUGCGUCAGUGCGGGUGUGGCUUUGCCUACUACUGCGACACGCACUGCCAACGCGCAGAUUGGUCGUACCAUUGCAUCGUCUGUAGCACUGAGGCCAGCACGGCACUGGCGGCCGCACUUGUGGGUGGGCGAGCGCUGCGCGCGAGGCGCGAGGCCGCCACGCAGACGGCGCACUGGCAGAUCAGCGCUCCUGUGAUCCGCCCUACUGGGCGAGGCGACGGCACCAUGGCGGCAGAAAAUGCGACUGGAAUGAGUGCCCGUCUUCACGCGAGCCUUCAUGAGCGGCACAGUCGAUCCGGCAGCGACGGCGAGGACAACACCUUCUCCGGUUCGUGCACGCGUGCAUCGCUCGCGGCUGCCUCGGAUGCCGAAGCGACGCCGCAAGUGUCGCCUCGCCGGCGCUCCCACGUUCGCGCAGCGUCGGAGCACGGGUCGCAGGUGGGUGUGGAUAGCGGAUCUGGUGCCUUCGCGACGCUCCACCAGAACCGCGAGACGCCUGUGCGGGCGUCAAACUAUGCCGAUCCAGGAGGCCGCACAACAACCUCUACCCAAGCUGCCAUCGCUGGUGGUGACAUGGGCGCUGGCCAGUGUGGCGUGGGGCUCGCCGGGAUGAACUCGCGCAGCACGCUCAGCCACCAUAACGCUACCGGGACGCUCUACAAAAGCCGGCACAUCAACACAAGCGCAACGCAGCAGCACUGGCACAAUCCCUUACUGGACGGUUCACGUGCCGGGGGGCCGCAUUCGCUGCGGUUCAGCCAGCCUGGAGAACCCAAUCACGGAGCUGCUGACGCCUUUCUCCAACACCAACACCACCAAUCCUCUCUGUUGACCGAUCACCACAGGUAUGUGAGUCACGCCAGCCAGUUAGAGCUCAUCGACCGAAGCCUUUUCGCCAUGGCCGGUCCCACCAUCCGAGAUCAGCCGGGCGUGGUCGCAUUUCUAGUCGCAUCACGUCACAUUGUUGAGAAGGAGGAGAUCAGCGCACGGGCGGCGCUCUUCCGCAAGUUUCGGCUGGGCUGCGUCGGGCUUCAGAUGCGUGUGCUUGGCAAGAGGGAAGAGGAAGAGCGCAUGACUAUCUUGAAGGAGGAGGUGCUUUGGUGCGUCCUGACAGGCCAUCCUGCGUGGAAGAAGCUGACGCAGGAGCUGCAGCGCUUUCGCGAAGCGCGCAAAUGAGAGCCGCACCUUCCUGAGGCGUGCGCGCUCGGCAGAGGAGAGGGAGGAGGGGGGUGGCGGGGAGAUAGCGUUCGACGACGUUUUUUUUUUUUUUGCGGGUGUAUCAGCCUCUACCACUCAAUCUCGGAGUGUGCGUUGCAAGUGUUCGGUGAUGCUGCAUCAGCGGCUUGGUCUGCUUUUCGGGGUGAUGGUUAUGGCAGUACUCACCGUCGCUCGGGCCGCAGCCCCACUACCCAGCGAAAAGGCAAUAACGCAAAACCGAAAGAAGCGUGGCCAUCGCAGAUUUGCGGUGUCGCCGUCUCCGUCACUCAGCCGCUUCCCCAUCGUUGCGCACACGGCGUGCACGUAUUCUUCGUGUUUUUUUUUGGUGGACUAUGCGCACGGACAUCAAAGCUGCGCAUCAAGCCGCAUCGAACGCGUCCAUCCCCCUUCCUCGCGGCCCCCCAUUUGGCGCCACUGUGUGCGCUGGCCUCCCGGCACCCCCUGCUUCCACCAUUCCCCUCCGCUCAGCAUUCGUCGUUCUUGCUCUACAGGCACGAGACGUGCGCCUCUCCUCUCCCACUCUCCGUAUCCUUGCCCACACCGCCGGGCCCGGCCUCUCCCUCUCCAACGAACCCUGUCCCACCGUCGUCUCCGCCCGCUUCUCUAUAG